rnacentral:misc_RNA from 1 species
GGCCGCCAUCACCGCGGUGUCGCGCGCCUGCCCGCGGAGCUGCAGCUCCGCCGCGACCUCCCAGCGGCGGAGCGAGAAAUAGCCGAGCGCGGCCAGGACGAAGGCGGCGGCGAACACCGCGCCGAAGAUCAGGAGCGGGGCGGGGCGCGCACCCACCUACGGCUCGAGCAGGAGGCGCCGGAUCAGUUGCUCCAUCUCGGAGUAGGCCCCCUCCCCGAUGUGGGUGAAGCGGACGACGCCCUUCUUGUCCACGAUGACCGCGGCCGGCCAUGCCCAGUUGCGGUAGCGGCGCCAGAUCGCGAAGUCAUUGUCCUGCACGA